GAAGCCAUCAAUCACAGCUUUCUCUGUAACUGCACUGCGCCUCCAUGCUCACCCUGCCCUACUCAAACAGGAAUUCAUUUCUGCACCCCCUACCUGUCUUUGACUUUCCCACAACCGCAAAAUACUCCAUCCAUUGUGGCCAGUGGUGAGAAGCUCAACAACACUGUGACACAGCAAUGUGUGGUACUGUACUAUCUUCAGAUCCGGGCAGAAGAGUGAGGACAAUUCCCAGUCAGCCACAUGAUCACAACCACAAUGAUCCUGCCAGUUUUGCCAAGGAAAUGUUUGUGCUGCAAAUAUC
rnacentral:lncRNA from 1 species